rnacentral:ncRNA from 2 species
GGGUGUUAGCUGCAUUCCGCAGCGAAACAGGUUCAUGCGUCGGUCGGGCCGCCACG